UUUUUUAUUUCUCGCCGAUAUCCGAUCCAGUAUUUAGGUCAGUAUCAGACCGAUACGUAAUAUCGGAUCGGUCCAUCUCUAAUGUAAAUGAAUCUAAACCUUUAUAAACUUAAAAAUAUUCCACAGAUGUUGUCUCCAGCUGAGGACAUUUGAUUGUGCCCACUGAACUUUGGUGCACACUGGAUCCUUGUGGUUGUCAAAAUCUCCUCACAAUCUGUACUGCUGUUAGACCCUCUUGGAAAUGAAGGUUGUUAUGAAAGGAAAAUUAUGCGUAACUGGAGGAAUUUUCUGAAGAUGAAAGGAAAGGAAGAGUCCCGAGUGGAUUGGAAAAUGGAGACUCUGCCACACAACAAGCAGAUGGACUCCAGCAGUUGUGGAGUAUUAGUGUUGAAGUUUGCCGAACACUACCUUAUGAGUGGAGAGGUUACUAGGGUGCUGUCCA
ensembl:lncRNA